AUUGAACGCUGGCGGAAUGCUUUACACAUGCAAGUCGAACGGCAGCACGAGGGCAACCUUGGUGGCGAGUGGCGAACGGGUGAGUAAUACAUCGGAACGUGCCCAGUCGUGGGGGAUAACGUAGCGAAAGCUACGCUAAUACCGCAUACGAUCUAUGGAUGAAAGCGGGGGACCGUAAGGCCUCGCGCGAUUGGAGCGGCCGAUGGCAGAUUAGGUAGUUGGUGGGGUAAAGGCUCACCAAGCCUGCGAUCUGUAGCUGGUCUGAGAGGACGACCAGCCACACUGGAACUGAGACACGGUCCAGACUCCUACGGGAGGCAGCAGUGGGGAAUUUUGGACAAUGGGCGCAAGCCUGAUCCAGCCAUUCCGCGUGCAGGAUGAAGGCCUCGGUUGUAACGU
rnacentral:rRNA from 1 species